rnacentral:rRNA from 1 species
AAUAGAUACCCCGGGUAGUCCACGCCGUAAACGAUGAGUGCUAAGUGUUAGAGGGUUUCCGCCCUUUAGUGCUGCAGCUAACGCAUUAAGCACUCCGCCUGGGGAGUACGGUCGCAAGACUGAAACUCAAAGGAAUUGACGGGGGCCCGCACAAGCGGUGGAGCAUGUGGUUUAAUUCGAAGCAACGCGAAGAACCUUACCAGGUCUUGACAUCCUCUGACAACUCUAGAGAUAGAGCGUUCCCCUUCGGGGGACAGAGUGACAGGUGGUGCAUGGUUGUCGUCAGCUCGUGUCGUGAGAUGUUGGGUUAAGUCCCGCAACGAGCGCAACCCUUGAUCUUAGUUGCCAGCAUUCAGUUGGGCACUCUAAGGUGACUGCCGGUGACAAACCGGAGGAAGGUGGGGAUGACGUCAAAUCAUCAUGCCCCUUAUGACCUGGGCUACACACGUGCUACAAUGGAUGGUACAAAGGGCUGCAAGACCGCGAGGUCAAGCCAAUCCCAUAAAACCAUUCUCAGUUCGGAUUGUAGGC